UUCACACUGUGAGUGUGUGUUUUCAUUUGGCUUUUCAUUGUCCAGGUUUGCUGACUUGGAACAGCAGGGAAUACUUUUUAUACACUUUCCUGAAGCGUGAUGUGAGAGUGUAGAAAUAUUUUACUUCUCCUAUGAGAAAAGCUGGAAUAACAGAAGAAUUUUUGCUGUGAUGUCCUCCAGUCGUCCUCUGCUGAAAUCUAAGCAAUCGUGCUGAGGUGCAGAAGACAAAAGUUUCCCAUCAAGUGUAUGAAGAGCAAGAAAACAGCAAACUUAAUAACUUGCACUCCUCAUUGCUCACAUUUCCUGAAGAUUGCUGAGAUCAAGAAAGCCGUCAAGUGCUCCUUUGCAUUCAUGCUGAUGUGUGUAAAUCAACAGAACUGUGCUCAGUUUUCCCAGGAGACUGACUUUGAGUGCACAGCAUUCAGAAAGGGGCAGUGCAUGUACUUGGCUGCACAGAAAGUGGAGGGAGAUGGUCACGUGUUCAUCAGUCAGGAAAGAAAAGUGGAAGAGAAAUAGACACCUGAACAGCUGGAUACAGUUGCAUACACCCAGUAGGUGUAUAGUGGACAUUAUGGCCAUACCUUGAAUAACGUAAAU
rnacentral:lncRNA from 1 species